rnacentral:rRNA from 1 species
AGGACGAACGCUGGCGGCGUGCUUAACACAUGCAAGUCACGGGGGAGUCGCAAGACUCAACCGGCGAACGGGUGCGUAACACGUGAGCAACCUACCGAUUUGCGGGGGAUAGCUGGCCUAACGGCCAGGUAAUACCGCAUACGCUUUCCGAGUCUCCUGGCUUGGAAAGGAAACCUCCGGGGCAGAUCGAGGGGCUCGCGUCCUAUCAGCUAGUUGGUGAGGUCACGGCUCACCAAGGCGACGACGGGUAGCUGGUCUGAGAGGAUGGCCAGCCACAUUGGGACUGAGAUACGGCCCAGACUCCUACGGGAGGCAGCAGUGGGGAAUCUUGCGCAAUGGGCGAAAGCCUGACGCAGCGACGCCGCGUGGGGGAUGGAAGGUUUCGGCUCGUAAACCCCUGUUGCCCGGGACGAAAAGCCUCGACCUAACACGUCGAGGUCUGACGGUACCGGGUGAGGAGGCCCCGGCUAACUCUGUGCCAGCAGCCGC